rnacentral:rRNA from 1 species
AUUGAACGCUGGCGGCAGGCCUAACACAUGCAAGUCGAGCGGCUGAAGGGAGCUUGCUCCUGGAUUCAGCGGCCGACGGGUGAGUAAUGCCUAGGAAUCUGCCUGGCAGUGGGGGCUAACGUGCGGACAUGGGCGCUAAUACCGCAUUCGUCCUGACGGCGUACGUGGGGGAUCAUCGGACCUCAGGCUCUUAGAUGAGUCUAGGUCGGAUUAGCUAGUUGGUGGGGUAAAGGCCUACCAAGGCGACGAUCCGUAACUGGUCUGAGAGGAUGAUCAGUCACACUGGAACUGAGACACGGUCCAGACUCCUACGGGAGGCAGCAGUGGGGAAUAUUGGACAAUGGGCGAAAGCCUGAUCCAGCCAUGCCGCGUGUGUGAAGAAGGUCUUCGGAUUGUAAAGCACUUUAAUUGGGAAAGAAAAGCAGUAAGUUAAUACCUUGCUGUUUUGACGGUACCAACAGAAUAAGCACCGGCUAACUUCGUG